ACAAAGGGUGGAUCUCCAUUUGGAGCUCCUCCCUUCUGGAGUAUUUGGCCAUUCCAGCACCCGCUUUAUCUCCAGUGAUCUCUGACCCCUGCAUGUCAGGAGUUCAAUCUGCUUCAUCUUGUUCUCAUCUUCUGGGCUACCCCCUGCUUUAAGCCCCUUUUCAGGGUCUCACAGAGUUCCUGGAGUAAAGCACCACAGCAUAAAGUCCUUCAAAACCAAAUUCCCUACUUCCCAAGGGAUGUCCUGACCUGCUGUUUGCCUCUAGGAUCUCUGGCUGAACCUCUCAUGGUGGAGCACCAUGAAGUAGAUCUGUGCUUGCUCACUGCGCAAGGCUUUUGUGCUUUCACCUGUCCAAGUGUGAACUGAGUCAUACCUGGCAUGUCCCUAGGGUGAUAUGAGCAGCUUAUCUGACUGCUCACUGUCAGCCAUGUGACCAGCUGAGCUCUGGUGGUGACAACAACAGGGACUAAAGAAGACAUGAUGUAAUUUUCAGAUCCGUUGGGGAGUUUUCAGCAGUGAUGGCUGGAAAAAAACAGCAAUUUCUCUGUGAAAAAGGGCACAUUUACUCUGGUUCCAAUGAGAAAGAAAUAAAUAGAAAGCCUGGUAGUGACUGUCCUUAAUUGAUUAGUCAUUUCUGCAGAUGAUAAUUGCACAUCAAAAGACAGGGAUCCUACUGUUUCAUGCAAAUGUCCUCAGGAAUAACAGCAAGGCACAGGGGAAGUGGGUAGAGGAAAUAAAUCCUUUAAGGCGCUGCCCAGGAGAAUUCAGAGCUUGAGUUCCAUUUUGGAAAAAUAAUGUUGCUCUGAACAUGUCUGGAAGAAAUAUCCUCAACCUCCUGAGUGCCAGAAACAUGGAGAAAAAGGAGGACAGGAGCCCCAGCCAUGCCAAAGUACCAUCUUUUCAGACACCAAUGGAGAACUUGGAGAGCUGGCUGAUGAGCCAGAAUUGUAGUUAUU